UACGUAGGUGACAAGCGUUGUCCGGAUUUACUGGGCGUAAAGAGCGCGCAGGCGGUCGAUCAAGUCGAGUGUGAAAGCCCCCGGCUCAACUGGGGAGGGUCAUUCGAUACUGAUCGACUCGAAGGCAGGAGAGGGUAGUGGAAUUCCCGGUGUAGUGGUGAAAUGCGUAGAGAUGUGGAGGAACACCAGUGGCGAAGGCGGCUCUUUGGUCUGUAACUGACGCUGAGGCGCGAAGCGUGG
rnacentral:rRNA from 1 species